GUGGGGAAUAUUGGACAAUGGGGGGAACCCUGAUCCAGCCAUGCCGCGUGUGUGAAGAAGGCCUUUUGGUUGUAAAGCACUUUAAGCGAGGAGGAGGCUCUUCUAGUUAAUACCUAGGAUGAGUGGACGUUACUCGCAGAAUAAGCACCGGCUAACUCUGUGCCAGCAGCCGCGGUAAUACAGAGGGUGCGAGCGUUAAUCGGAUUUACUGGGCGUAAAGCGUACGUAGGCGGCUUUUUAAGUCGGAUGUGAAAUCCCUGAGCUUAACUUAGGAAUUGCAUUCGAUACUGGGAAGCUAGAGUAUGGGAGAGGAUGGUAGAAUUCCAGGUGUAGCGGUGAAAUGCGUAGAGAUCUGGAGGAAUACCGAUGGCGAAGGCAGCCAUCUGGCCUAAUACUGACACUGAGGUGCGAAAGCAUGGGGAGCAAACAGGAUUAGAAACCCUAGUAGUCC
rnacentral:rRNA from 1 species